CUGAGCAGGGGCAAGGACUCGGUUUUACAGACCAAUUUUCUUUUCUUCAUGUAUUCACCGAAUUGCAUUUUUGAAAUUUCUAAGAAUUUAAACUACAUGGGUAGAAAUAUUAAAUGAUUUCUGGACUUUUCUUAAGCAUUCACAAACACACACAGUGUCAAAGAACACAAUUUGCCUCCUCAAGGUGAACUGCUAACUAAGACUGAGUUCUAAAACCCAGUUUCAGAAAGACUACCUUCAGGAACUAAUUCUUAUUAAGUGAAAUAAGUAUUACCCCUUCCAGGAGAGACUGUCCCAGAGACUGAGAAACUCCAGCUGUGGCAGUUUCUUGGAGUAAUGGUUGGUUUCCAGUACCCCACACAGAAACCACCCAGUCUGACUUCAGUGCUGGCACAAACUCUUUCAGUUCAGUAACACUGGAUUAAAGGGACCUGUUGAAUAUGUAUGACCCUUGGACCAUAUUACAUUAGCCAAGAUUGAAGUACUUCACUACAUGACACUGGACCACGAGGGCAAGCUCGUCUUGAAAAAAAGAGACUAUCAAACAUCUUGGUGUGCCUUUAUGGUGUCAAAACAGGCAGAGCCAGAAUUGUCCAUUUUAAUAGGAAAUGGGUUAGAGCACAUGAUAAAACACGACACAGGCUCCUGUGGCAACCUCAUAAGCUUCUGGUUUAGGGCAUAAAGACAUUUAGAAUAUGUUUACUUUUGAGGCGUUAUUGUCUGGUCUGAUCACAGCAUUAAAAAAUAAAUAAAAACCUAACCUCAUAUGAAAAUAGCCGCUGAAGGUGAGGCACAUUCGCUGUGAACAGUGGGAAAUUCCAAAAGAGAAACCACAGAAACUAUCAGUGGGGCCUUUGAGAAAAAAAAAAAUUCAUUUUCUGAACAGCAACAGUCCCUGUCUUAAAAUGUAACAAGAGGAAACCAUAUUAUCUGCUUCAAUCAACCCAUUUUCUUUAUUGCAGAGGCUUGCCGACCAACCAGUCUAAUAGUACAAUGCUUUAUGGGUACCCAAACAAUGAUUGAAUGCACUUAUUCCUUGAUAAGCUCCUGCAGAUGAAGUGUGCACGCUGCAUUAAUUAUUACCAAUGUGGCAGGAAGCAAACGCAAGUCGAGAGUGGCUGGCUUUCAGAGAAAUGAAGGUGGAGAAAUUAUGUCCUCUUUCCUCCCCACUUUCUAUUGAUCUUCUUAGAGCAAUUUCAGAAAAGUUGCAAACCAAUAAUUUACACCCGAUUAAAAAAAAAGAGCUCAAGGAAGAUGGGUAAUAAAAAAAAUGAGAAAAAUAUCUCUAGCUGGACCAUGUUCUAUUAUGAAGGGCACACUGCCCAAAUGGCUGACCAUUUUUCUUGCCUUAUCUGAAGGCUUAAUGCUGGUAAGGAAGAUGAGGAGGAGUCACCCUCUUCCCUUCUGCUAGCUGUCAGGCCUUGCAAUUUAGCAGGCACACCAGUCUUUCAGUUCAGCGAGCUCUGUGCAAGCAGUCUUGGACCACGUAGAGACUUGGACUCUACAAGGAGAUGGAAGCACAACUCCUCUCCCACUCCGUUUGCUCCUACAGUCUACUGUCCAACUCAUUUCGACUUAUUUGGACUUGGAAAGAAACACUUCUCAGUCUGCAAUGAGCCAUUCCAGACACUUGUCAAGUUGGACCAACUACAAGAAGGCUUUCCUCGAUUCAUUGCAACUUCCCAGGUACUCUGUAACCCCCACUGGUUCACAGGUUGACUUUGGCUGUCCUGAGCACCAAGACUAAAGAAUUUUGGGGUGUUGCUUUAGAAAAGACAGCAGCCAUUAACUUUAUGGCAAAUUGUGUGUUUAUUAACAAAUGGUAGAACUUUUUUUUUUCCCCCCUGCCAAUGAUGAAAGCAAGUCUCAACUUGUUAUUUUAGGUGACUGUGAGCUGUGACCCCUUCCCUCACAGCAGAAGGCUCAGGAGAAACAAGCCUGCUUCUUGAGAAAAUACAGCCCUGGUCACACUCUCAAAAGAAAAUGCUUUUGCAGGGUCUCUAUGUGAGUGAUUUCUGGCCACUCAGACUUCACACAGAGAGAAAAAGACCCUCAACACACUCCCCCACCCCCACCUCCACCCUCAAGAGCAAGAACUUGCAGAGCAAUGAGCCUUGCCUAAAAAAGGAAGUAGUUGCUGAAGUUGGACGGAGAACGGUCAUGCAGAAAAUAUGGCUCAAACUGUUGCACUCUGAAGAGGACAGGGAGAGUCCUCUUCAUGAAGCCAUACAGACACAAGGCUUGUUUUAAAGAUUCACAGCGUGAAGCAAAACCUCAGCUAUAAUCCCAAUACUUUCAGGAGGACAAAACUGUGACUUUGAGACCAGCCCAAACUACAAUAAUUAUGAGGCUAGCCAAGGGCUAUGUGGCAAGCUCUCAUCCAAAACAAAAACAAACAACUCAAAUAAAACUGAUUCACCGGUUGCAACAUUAGAAUUCCAAACACUUCAGCGGCACCAUAGGCCCUAAUGGGCUCUGAGCCUACAGGGUACCAUUCACUUUUCUGCUUCAAACCUCUGCAGAUGCUGUGCCUGACAAUGAUGUGAUGCUAUCCAAGGCUGUUUCCUCAGAAGAUGCUGAUUUUUAAAACCUCCCCAUUCUGUGCAUUCUCUAGGAGUUAAAGGAAGCAAGAAAAUGAAAAUCAAUCAGGCUACAGGAUGUAUCAAAAAUGCCUUUUCUCACAUCUUCCUUGCAAACAGGACUCCAGGAUAGAAAAUUCAUUCCCAUCAGAAUGAGACAGGUAACAUGUGUUUCUCAACUUGGUGGAACAACAGACAGCAUCCUGGAGAGCUGCAGUAUUUCAAUCCAGUCACUAAACCACACAUUGGACUUCCUUCGCCUCUGCCUCUCUCUGAUAGCUAUUAGCUAAAGGAUCACAUAAAAAGCAGAAGAGGCCUUGGACAGUUUGCUGUGGUUGGGACCAGAUAUCAGAAGUCUCCAUUCUGUUGGCAUCCUUGAUAGGAUGCUGAGGGACCUUCAGAGAAGGAUAAAGUCCCUGCCUUGUUUCUAGGCUUCCCUGCCUAGAACAACAUUUGGAAAGCAACAAUGACCAAAAAGGAAACAGAACCCAAGGCAAGAAGAACUGGAUGGAUAAGGACACCCAAAUGGUCCAAAUGAGUUUGAAACUCAAAUACCAGACAAGUUGUACCCAGUUCAGAGGACCCUUCCUUGCAGAGCCUUUGAAGAAAGUCUGAUCCAUAAGAGUUGGGCUAGAAGAAAGGCAUGUUUUGAAGCCGGGUUGGGGUGAGUGGAGUAGAGGAUCUCUCUAACAGCUACAAGCUGAUUCCAGAGAUAAUAAAUGAGACAGAUUAUAAGGGAAUGAGCCUGGUGAUGCCUGGGUGCCAGCCUCGCCUCCAUAAAAAGGAAAAAGCCAGAUAAAUACCAGUCACUUCUUUCCAGGUAAAAACUACACAGAGGGGGCAUAGUAAAAGUGGAGCAGACAAGAGGGACCUCAGCAAAGAAUUCUGGACAUGAUUAUUAUGACCAUAAGGCAAAAACCAGUACUAGAUCAACUGGCUGACUGGCAGUCAUGUAUUAGUUAGAGGAAAAAAAAUUAUUUCUUGGUCUUACCUCAGUAAUCUUUGACCAACAACAAAAGUAUUCUUAUCAAAACUGUCCCUGGAGACUGGAGAGAUGUUUCAGUGGUAAAGAACAGUGGUUGCUUUUCCAGAGACCCUGGGUUCAAUUCCCAGCAUCCACAUGGCAACUCAACACUCCAGUUCCAGAGGAUUGGACACCCUCAUAAAGACAUAUAUGCAGGCAAAACACCAGUGCACAUAAAAUGAAAAAUAAGGAUAAAUAAAUCAUCUUUAAAAAAAAAAACUGUCCCUGUACAGCCAGUCGAAGCAAACUUUGCUUUAUUUGCAGGAAGUAAGCUGUCUGCCCUUUCUGAAACAAAAAGCUUGGAAGCUUGGAUUACCAGCUGGGUGGGGUAAAUAAUAUAGUAGAUGGAAAGCUGUGGAUUUCAAAGGAGCUGAAUAGCUUGGCACAAAAGGCCAUGCAAUUUCAGUCUCACAGUGAUAAAAACAUAGAAUUUUGGCAAGAAGUUUUUGUUUUUUUAAAGUAUCGUAGAGACCCAGCCUCGUAGAGGAACAUGCGAUGUGGUUAUAGAAAUUAAAAUCCAGGCAAAUUCAACAGCAUUAAAGUGUGACUAAGGCACAGGUAAAAAUGGAAGCCUAGGCUGUGUGAGCAGAGUAAUAGGGUGAUAUUGGCUUCGGGCAGACGAGUGUGAGGUCCAGACCACACACAUGGUAAAGCCAUAAGAAAUCAGUGGGACGUGUGGAGGGGAGAAGGUAACGACUCUAGUAAGACCCGGGUGAGGGAAUUGAUGAGCAACAUCUCCAGAGAAGCGUGGUCUAUACCUUCAAGUAACAGGAAGACCCCAGAAAGAGUUCUGAGUGGUCCAAAGAGCGGAAGCAGGGCUUUCAUGAGGAAGUCCUUGCCAAUAGCUUGUAGAGGCUACGGAAGGUAGGGAGUUCUCCAUACAGGGGCCUCUCAGGAUGAUGAGACAGUGCUUCCUGAGGUGGGGCCCAGCCAUUCCCUUGCUGUCCCAGAUUGGGAUGCUGUUAAUUUGACUGAAGGUGCAGCAAAUGAUCAUCCUUUGCUUCUGAGGCAGAGACCCAGGCAGAGCUGCCAGCCAGAGAACUCCUCCUAGCCAUUAAACCACGCAGAAAUCUCAAUAAAUCCAGCUAAUGAGAUGAGGGGUCACAGGGACCUUUCAUCUUCAGAGCUUGGGCGUUUUCACACCAAUUAUGGCUUUUAAUCUUCGCAAUACUCCCACUAGGUGGGGAGAGGGGCGAGUUUCAUUUUACCCAUGUGGUAACUUGAGAAGACUUAGGCUGAAGUUCUUUCAUCCUGAGGUAUGGGAUUGGUAACCUAGUUAUCUACCAGUUUGCUGUCACGUUCAAUCCUUCUCCAGGACCCUAUCCUGGGUACAGAGCAUGGGAGAACACAAACCAAGGACUGGGUUGGAUGUGCAAUUCUGGAGCAGGCAGAACCCACUUAGGGAGCCAAGAAGAGCUCUCUAAAGCAACGGAGGAGGAGUCUUGCUGUUGAUGAUUGACCAAUGAAAGGUAGUUUCUAGGACCUUUGCCUUACUUUGCCUCAGUUUCCCCAAUGAUGUGAGUGACUGAUGGUUCCUUGGGAUAGAAAACAGAUCCAAAAAGGCUUUUAAGAUCACUUGAAAAUACUCAGAAUUUAUGGAUCCUCAGGUAUGCCUUAAAUUAGAUUGAUAAAAGUCUCUGACUAAUGCAUAUGAUCUAUAAAGGAAGUAUUAAGCCUUCCUUGUCUGUAUGCCAAGAGGCUUAGGAAACAAGAUACAAGCACUUUCUAAAUUUAGAUGUCUGAAGUUCAAAUCCCAGCUGAACUUAUGAUGAGCUGUGUGACCUUGAACAAGUUGGUCAACAGCUCUGUGCCUGUUUUUCUUAUCUAUAACAGAAAUCAUGAGUAUGCCCUCCCUCAAAUGGUAGCUGUGGGAACUAGAGCAGUUGACGCUGGAGUGCCUGGCCCCUUGGGGGUGCUUCUCAUUCACUCCCAUUGUCACUGCACUGUGUGUGGAAAGCAGGCCCACGCUGGCUGGCUGAAAUUAAUUUAAUUCUGUAUCAUUCCCUUGCUAUAAGGCCUGAUUGUUGAAAGUAAGAGAUCACUGAUUUGUGAAAUACACAUAAAGCCAAAAUUUACUCUCUAAAAAAAAAAUAAUAAUAACCAUUUCUCCCAAAUGAGCCUUUAACUCUGGAACUGCUAACAAUCCAUAAAUAUCUCUUCCCAAGAGUUUUAUCAAAUAUGGCGAGGAUUUAGAUGUCACAUUCUAAAGGAAGUUCAAGAGAACCCAUUGGGGGCCUAGUGUGAUGGCUGAUGCGGUAAAGAUGUCUGCAGUCAAACCUGAUGACCAGGGAUUGAUCCUCAGGGCUGCCCCUGGUGGAAGGAAAGAGCUGACUCAAACAAACUGUCCUCCGACAGCCACCUGCCUGGCCCGCGUCCUCACAGAAUGAAUACAAGAACACAAAAAGGUACGUUCACAUGCCCCAUAGGGUAUCCCGGCAGCUUAGACUGUGGUCCUGGAAGAUGAGGAAAGACAUUGUAGUGUCUGUGUAACCAACUGUGCUCUGGGAUGGGAAGAACAGAAAAAGGCUCAGGAAGAGGUGGGAGCUCCCAAAAGAUGCCACCGGCCGGAGGAAAGCCAGUCAGCAGCCUGUGAAGAGCAGCAUUAGGAGACACAGAGAGGAAGUGAGCAAGAGGGAGAGGGUACACACACCUCUCAGUGUGGAGGCAGCUUCCUGACAGGCGAGAGCUGGGGUCUCGGUCCAGCACAGUCGGGUGGUGGUAAGGAAACACCCUCUGCUCUGGAAGUCGUCCUGUGCAUUUGGGUGUUUCUUUAAUAUUUACUUCACUUUUUUUCCAGAAAAAAGAAUCUUUAGAUAAUAAAGCCUAGCAAAUGUGUUAAGGUUUCCAACCUAAAGUUAUCUAUGCACCUAUGACUUUGUUUAGAACUGCAGGCUCUGCCAUGGCUGGUUAGCAUUGUUAAAAACCCCAGGGACUGACAGGUUGGUCUCCUCCCUUGAGACAGAGUCUGAAGACAUCAGAAGUCACAAUUUGGUGGCUCUGGGACAUGUGUUUCUGAAAUUCAUGGUGUCUGUUAGCUUGAUGGCUAAGAGCUCCAUACUGGUCAAAUCUAGUGCUGUCACUUUCUGCCCUUGACAUGUUGGGUGACUUAUAUAACUUCUCUAGGCCUCCAUGGUGUCCUGUUCAAUAGAGGAUUCUAUUGGCCUGUCUCUGAGGAAGCUGAUUGGAUAUGGGAGCUGACCUGUGUAAAGGUUGAGUAGGGCUCAAACUUAAACACUAAGUAUUUUGUAAAGAUGAGUUUGAACGUGCAGAGUUGCAUCCUGAAGCACAGAAAGGCCUCAGAAGUGUCCUGUAUUUCAGGCUCUGACGCCACCCUCACCUGUUUUCCUUACACUCUGCUGGCCUGCCAUGACCCCCCAUAUGCUAUCUCCAUCCAGGGCCUCCCCACAGGACCCUGGGACAGGAAUCAGCAAACCUCUUGGGAAAGACUGGAGCGAAAAGAUCUCAGGUUUUGAAGGCCACAUAGUCCCUGUUGCAUGCCCUGGCUCUGUCUUUACACAAUAAAUUGAGGGUAAGACUUUUUUGUCAGUCAUAGCUUGCUGACUUCCCCUUUUACAUCUAACUGCCGAGUAGACAUUACCAAACACUGAACUGCGUGAAGCUCAAAGCUGUAAGAUUAGACAUUUCUUUUAACCUCCAGGCAUCUAUCAACACAGAGUCAGUUCUCACACACCCAGAACAACCACUGCAGCUUCACCCAUGUUCCCUCGUUAGCACCCCACACUGAGCCACGCAGCCUACCGACUCCAGCUCUAGGGAAUCUCUCAUACUCUGUUCCUGGUGUUUUGAGUGCAAAGAACACAUUUGUUAUAGCCAUUGCUUCGUCCUGUGGCCUAGUUUUCUAUCUGGCAGACGGAAGGAGUUAUAAAAAUGUUUGUAGAAUGAAUGAGUGAAGGAAACAAUGAGAGAAUGAAAGAAAGAGAGAAAGGAAAAAAGAAAGGAAGAAAUAAAGGAAGAAAGAGAGAAAAUAUAAACACCUUAAGGCAGGAAGUGCUUCAAACGUAGUGUGUGUGUGUGUGUGUGUGUGUGUGUGUGUGUGUGUGUGGGGCAGGGAGAGAGAAAGACACAGAGACAGACAGACAGACAGAGACAGAGAGACCCAGAGACUUUUAAAAUCCUAAUUCCUCAGGUUUACAGUGAACCUCAGUCCUUGCUGGCCCAUGGCAUAUCCUGGAGUAGCAAGAACCCGAGAAGCACACCGGCCUCAGGGCUCAGGCCUGCAUAGAUUUCUUCCCCAAUUGCUUGUGUUGCACCUGUUGUUUUCCUCCCUCAGUCAUUUCAUUACAUCUCCUUACACCUAGUCAAAACUCCAAACAAAAUUAAUACAACAGCACCAAAUGACUUAGAUUUCCUGGGGUUUGUACACAUCUUUUUUAAGUUUGUACACAUCUUAAACGAUCUCUUUCCCUACUGGCUGCUGCCUCUUGGUCCCUCCUAAUAGAAUUUAACGUAACUGUUUCCCUUCUGUGCAGCAUCCCGGGGAGGCUCUGCCAGGGCGAGCCUUUCUUACCAGGAUGUGUAACUUAUCUUGAUUGCACAAAAGUCUUAAACAAGUUAUGAUUGUUCAGAAAUUCAAAAGAACAGCCCGUUUUCCCAGAACUCCAGUACAAUGAUUAAAUAGCAACCUGUUUCUGGCUACCUCACACCUCCUUUACAGCAACAAAAUCCUUUUUUUAUCAGUAGAAUAAAUAAUUGCUUUCAGGGUUCCAGGGGCUGUGUGACGCUGCCCUCUGCAAAGGGAAGACUGUGCCUCAGUUAUCUGAAGGGAGGCACCGCCCGCUAAAGCUCAAUGAGAUGCUUUGGCAAGUUAAAAAUGUGACUCUUAAUGUUUUGUUUCCAAAAAAAUCAUAUUUCUUUGCAGAAAUUCUGUAGUGCAGCUAGCAUCUCGAUCGAGCAGGGGAGGCCGCUCCGGCUGCACUUAUUCUGCCUAGAAAUGGGCUAUUAGUGUGGAGAUACCAGGGGUCUGCAGCAGGCAGGCUAAUUUACACACAGAAUCUCAGCAUUUUGGAUAAUUACAUUUCCUCUGACAAUUUCUAAAGAAUCUGCAUGAUAUUGGAUUGUGUCAGGAAAUAGGUGUCACGGUGAAUGUGCGAUUCUGACUGGGCUUUUUUCACUAGGAAAUUGUAGGAAAGUGUAGUGUAAUCAACUCAUAGAAAUUACCCUCCAUAUACUUAGCUUCACUGAGAAGAAUCAAAUUGCUUUACCUGAAAUUACAGGGUGGGGUGGGAGACAACCAAAAAUCCAGUCAGGAUGGGAUGCCGUUUUUACAACUGGUAAACAAGUUAGAUCUAUCCUUAUUAUGCAACACACAUGUAUGGAAAAAUUCCUGUGUAUCCAGAAUAUCUAGAAUCUCAAUGGAAAAUGCAUUUAAUAGACAUUCUUUCAUAUCUACAAGACACUAGCUGUAGGAUCUUGGCUAUAAAAAUCCUUGGCUGCUCAAGUCACUUAGGUUAAACAGCAUAACCUAUAUAUAAUCUACACAUAUUCUCCUGUGUCCUUUAAAACAUAUCACCUCCAGAUGUCUUACUACAGCAGACACAAUGUAAAUGGCAUGUAAAUGGUGCCCAGACUCCAGUGUUUAGGGACUAAUGACAAGGGGAAAAGGCCACUGCACUUUCAGUACAGACACAAUUUAAAACACAAUGUUAGGCCUCAGGCAAGCCCACAAAUGGUACUCAAGGAUUUGGACAACCAGCUGUAACUGGCUUCAUGCUGGCCACCCUGGAGGACUUCCAGGUCCCAAGCAAAGCUCAUGAGGGCUAAUCCGCAUGACUGACAGCUGAGUGCUGGACUCAGAGGAGGGAAUACUUUUGAAGCCCACUCGAUUUGUGGCAAAGUGAAGCCUGGAACCAGUGUGCCCCUCGCCCCAGACAAAUGGCCUUUCUCUAAGGACUGAGUGGCAGUUAACACCAGCUCCUGAGUUGUCCAAUUCUUAGAAAUCUCUCAGUUCACAUAUGAAGCCGCAUCUUAACAGUCCAGUGUACUCCAGGGCCCCUUGCUGCUCUGCUGACCAGAGUUCUCACAGCUCUUCAGAGCCACCUGUGGUUAGCAACAGGUAAGAUUCCCAGGGGAAGCAACCCCCACGCCCAUCACCAAAACCAGUGUUGAGUAAAAAGUCGAUCACGAAGAAACAUUUGUCAAACGAAAGACAAAGCAUCGUGUGUGAUAACCCUUAGAUGUGUCAGAAUCUUCCUUUCUGUAUCUUCUAUUUGACAUUUUUUUUUCCUAGAACUUCUGGUGUGCCAGACAUUUACCCAGCUGAGGUGAGCCUCAGAAUAAUACAUUGAUUUUAUUCAUUCAGUGAACUUAAUGCAAGGUGAUCCCAUUACUGUAACCUCUUAAUGCAAUGUCAUCUCUUAUCAGCUUAAUUGUGCAGCCUGUACCUGUAUGUCACUCCCUGCAGAACUGAGUUUCACCUUCAACCCUGGGUCAAAACUCUUAUGAUUCAGCAAUCCGCUUUCUAGGAUCAUACAGGGGGAAACUGCGAUCUUUGCACCUGCCUGCCUGAGCCGAAACAGCUAAUCAAAAUGAGCAGCCUGAACAAGCGAUUUUGACAUAUUCUCUCUCCUGGCUAUAACCAUCAUGAAGAACUGCAUUCACGAUCCGGACAGGGUCCCUGUACCUGAGCCACACACACACUGGAAGGCAUCUUCUUUGUUUCUUAGGAGAUACAAGUAACAUGCUCGAAUACACAGCUUCAUCUCGCCCAAACCUAGUAAGAAUCCUAACCUCACAAGACGCCGGGAGCCUGAACGGUAUCUGCACGAUGGAGUACUAGAUUACAGUGGGCUUCUGCGUCAAGCAGGCUGCACUUUCACACGAAUCUGUUCUAAGAGUGUGGUGACACUUGGCACUUCUUUUCCCACAUGAGGGCACAAAGUUGAUUUAAUCGGGUGAUACUUAAUUGGAGGGAAGCUUGAACACUUUAUGAGACACCAGAAACCUAGAGGACAGUAAAGUAUUAAUUACCCACCCAUCAAUGGGAGCAGAAGUAAUUAAAACAAUUAUUCCUAGCUCGCUUCAGAUCCCCCUUUCCCUCCCCGGCUCACCUGAAGUGGAGAGUAUCUUGAACACGCCCUCCCUCCCGGCUGGGAAAAAUCCCACUGCUUGAAAUUCCCGAUGAAUUGCUCUUUUAUGCAUACCUUAUAAUCCAGAUCAUCCCAACAUCCCCACUGGGACUUAAACCAGUCUUUAUUAUCCUUCUUUGUCCUGGGCACAAAUGUAUCAUAUGUAGUACUGGAGAAAUACUUGUUGACCAAGAUUCCUUUGAAAUUUUUGUUGUUGUUUUUGAAUUCUUUGACAUUUUUGUUGUUGACUAUGACGUACCUUUAUGAUUCCUCUUCCAAUAUCAACUAUGUCAAAUUGUAUUUAUAACUGUGAGUAAAGGCAUGCGACCUAAAUCUCCCAUUAUGGCCACCUUUAGGUAUGGAACUUUACAGCUUUAGGUCCACCCAUUCUUUGUUUCUUAAGAAAUACAAGUUGUUGGGCUAGAGAGAUGGCUCAGCAGUUCAGAGCACCAACUGCUCUUCCAAAGGUCGUGAGUUCAAAUCCCAGCAUCCACAUGAUGGGGUGUCUGAAGACAGCUACAGUGUACUUACAUAUAACAAAUAAAUAAAUCUUUUUUUUUUUUUAAAAAAAAAAAAAGAAAGAAAUACAAGUUGUUGAACAAUCUCUAGCACUUUGGCCAUCCCCUAGGCAGUCAAUCACUGAAAUCCACAGUCUGUUUCUUGCCUCGAUACACACAUGUGUAAACAGAAUCCUGCAAUGUUGUCCUCCUUGACUGGUUUAAUUGCUUUAGUAUGAUGCCCUCAGAGUUCAUGUAUGUUGUACAAUGUGCUGGAAUCUCCCUCCUUUAUAAGUCGGAAUAUUCCUGCUUGUACAGCCCACUUUUUCUCCCACCCAUGCAUGUUCCAGUGGUUACACUGAGCAAUUCAGCUCUGGGCACCAUGAAGGGCAGUGCUAUGAGCAUGAACACACAAGUGGCUCUGUGAGAACUUGUCUUCCAUGCUUCAUGUCAGGUUAGAAGCCCACAGGUGGAACUGCUGAACCACACAGUCCCCAUGUCAUAUUAAUAUGGAGACUGUUGGCUGCUAAUGACAGAAAUGUGAGGGUUGUUUUUCUUGUUUUGUUUGCUUAUGAUUAGAAGAACACUUUAGGCAGAAGGACUUUAUAAUCAAAUAGGAAUGGCAGUCCUUGGACAGACCCUGAGUCUGAGGCUCUGAGGGGCUCUUACGCUGUGGGCAGUUUCUAAAGAUAGACAUACUUCAUGGUGAAUUAGGCCCCAUGAACUGCAGUAAGAUCCAUCACUAGUAAAAAGUAACAGAAGUUAUGAAAUAAAGAGCAAGAAAGGAAAAGAGAGAGAAAAAGGCCCUGGAUGUCAUGAAGAUCUUUGCCUAGAGAAGCAGUGUAGGAAGCGAGGGCACUGGGUCCUAGGAAGCUUAGUUUCAGCUUCUCAGCCUAGCUGCUCAGUGGGAUCUUGAGGACACCACCUCUCUAUACUAACUACAGUCCACCCCUUCUGUCUGUGUGGAAGCAUGUGUGUUCUUGGAGAGGGACCCUAACAUCAGCCCAAUGCGAGUAUGUUCAGUGAUUCAGAAUGUCUGACUGCAAACGAUGGAAGAACGGAGGAGACGGGGCUGACUCUGUUGCAGAACAGCGUUAGACAGAAAGAAUAUCCUUAAAAGACAAUGCCUGGGGAUCUGAGGAGAGUGACUGCCCAACGUGGGAGGAACUGCUCACAAAUGCAGAGGCUUUCUAUAGCUGUGCUGUGGCCACCAGAAUGUAGUGUGAGAUGUAAGGAACCAUGGCUUCAGUUCUCGAAGCCUGGAGAGUGGGGAGGUAUUUAUACGCCAGCAUUUUUGCAAGUAUAAUAGGUUACUUCGGUCCCUGUAAGAGUCUACUUGUGUUCAAAUAAUCCCAUUAUUUGGGAAUGAUCUGGGUUUCCUAAUACCUCAAUUUCAUUUUAACAAAUGAAAACCUAAGAAAAUGCAUUUCUCAAACGGAACAAACGAGUUUCAUCUCGUUCCAUGUUGGAGUGGGAUAGCCGCCUGUUGUAGAAGUCUAUGAAUUUCUAUGUGACCUUAGAUAAUUCACUUUUCAGAAUCUCUGCUUGUUAUUAAUAAAAAUGAUGCCUACACUGCAA